CACACCUUGUGGCCAUGAACUUGAGAUCUUCCUUCAUCAACUCCCCAAGUACUGGGAUUCAUUGUGUGCAUGCAUUAUCUCAUCCAGCUGAGAAAAUUUACAUCAACAUCUCCUGACAUAUAUGAAGAAGAAGAGGCAUAUCCGCUGCCCAGGAACUAUCAACGUGUGGAGCCACUGCCUGAGAUGACCUCAGGGGAGAGCACGCACGAAGUUCCCCACUACCACAAAUUAUGCAGCCGAGUUUCCCACAUUUGGAGAAAUUGCAGGAGGCAGCACAUCCGGAGUGCAAUGGAUAAGUCUCGCUCUGGGAAAACCACCUUUGUGAUCAUGGUACCUCCGCAGCCAAGCUGAGCAUUUGGAGACUUAAAAAUUGAUGUGAAGCCAGAAGCCAGGUCUCACUGGGUGGCACAGAUGGCCUAGAGCUCCAGAUUCUCCUGUCUUACCCUCCUGAGUGCUGGGAUGACAAGUCUGUGUCACAGUAUCUGGCUCUAAUGAUAUUGCAAUAUUUGGGUUUGGUCCAAAUACAUGAGGACAAGGCUUUCAACAAAGUAUAUCUGAGAAGCAGACUAUUCAUCUCAUAUUUUAAGAUGGGUUUAUUGGAACGUCUGUCACCAUAGAAAUAUACUGAAAGCCAUUGAAUUGUGUCUUAAGUGGGGAAGAUUUGAAAUGCAACAAUAUUCUUGUGGUUUAAGUAAGAAAUGUCCCAGAGAGGAGAAUGAAUGUGUUUGUACUCUUGGUCCCAGAUUAUAGCAGUGCUUGUGAAGGUUCUAGAAACUUUCCGUGGAUGCUUGCUGGGGGAAUGAGUCACUGAAUUUAUAGACUCACCUACCUUGCCUUCUGUACUGUGAGGCAGUUGAUGUGACCAGAUGCAUCCCAAUUCGGCAGCCACACCUUCACUGCCUUGUUGGUUUAUAUCCCCUCAAACUGUGAGCAAGACAAGACCUUCCCUACCUAAGUUGCUUCUCAUCAGUUAUUUUGAUCACAACCACAAGGAAAAAUAACUACACACAUGAUAUUUAAGUUUAAUAUCAACAUAAACCUUGAAGAACCCAUGCACCACGUGUGGCCUGAAGUUCAUAGCACUGGUUAUAGCCACACCUCUGCAGUACAUCCUAUAGGACACCUGCAUUUAGUUCUCCCUUUGUCAGAAACACCUUGAUUCCUUGUGCCACGAUGCAGCUUCUGUCUGACAGAGCAGGCUACGCUCCUGUCUCACACAGUCUCUCAAGGAUUUGCCUUGGCAUUCUUGCCCUUUGGGAAGCCUCCCUCCCGGGCAUCACGGCCUCCUCUUUCCCAUUGAACAACUCCCAAGAGAGGAUCUGGGAUUCCCUCACUCACAGAACCCCGAGUCACUACCUACAGCCAUUGUAUCUGUGUGUGGUGUAGCCUCGGUAUUACUCUCAAAUUCACAUCUGUAUAAUGUGUCUGUUUUCUUGCUUAAAGACAGGCCUACUGUCUGUCUUCCUCACCACAGCCAAAUUUCUCUGAGAAGGAAGCUCUGUCAUAGGUAGCCCACAGCACCAGGCCUGGGAAGAGAAGUUGUUAGCUAACUUUCUUUUAGGUUGAAAGAAGAACAAAACCGUGAUUGCUUCUGCC